rnacentral:pre_miRNA from 1 species
CAAGUACUCCCUCCAUCCGGAAUUACUUGUCAUCAAAAUGGAUGUGUCUAGAACUAAAAUACAUCUAGAUACAUCCAUUUCAAUGACAAGUAUUUUCGGACGGAGGGAGU